GAUGAACGCUGGCGGCGUGCCUAAUACAUGCAAGUCGAGCGAACGGACGAGAAGCUUGCUUCUCUGAUGUUAGCGGCGGACGGGUGAGUAACACGUGGAUAACCUACCUAUAAGACUGGGAUAACUUCGGGAAACCGGAGCUAAUACCGGAUAAUAUUUUGAACCGCAUGGUUCAAAAGUGAAAGACGGUCUUGCUGUCACUUAUAGAUGGAUCCGCGCUGCAUUAGCUAGUUGGUAAGGUAACGGCUUACCAAGGCAACGAUGCAUAGCCGACCUGAGAGGGUGAUCGGCCACACUGGAACUGAGACACGGUCCAGACUCCUAAGGGAGGCAGCAGUAGGGAAUCUUCCGCAAUGGGCGAAAGCCUGACGGAGCAACGCCGCGUGAGUGAUGAAGGUCUUCGGAUCGUAAAACUCUGUUACUAGGGAAGAACAUAUGUGUAAGUAACUGUGCACAUCUUGACGGUACCUAAUCAGAAAGCCACGGCUAACUACGUG
rnacentral:rRNA from 1 species